CCGAAGGUGCGAACUUAAGCCCCAGUAAACGGCGGCCGUAACUAUAACGGUCCUAAGGUAGCGAAAUUCCUUGUCAGGUAAGUUCUGACCCGCACGAAUGGCGUAACGAUUUGGGCACUGUCUCAACAGCCCGCCCGGCGAAAUUGUAGUACCGGUGAAGAUGCCGGUUUCCCGCAACUAGACGGAAAGACCCCAUGGAGCUUCACUGUAGCUUGAUAUUGGAUCUCGGUAUUCCAUGUACAGGAUAGGUGGGAGGCUAGGAAGCAAGUGCGCCAGCAUUUGUGGAGCCAACCUUGGGAUACCACUCUUGGGGUAUUGGGAUUCUAACCUGCGCCCAUGAAUCUGGGCGGGGGACACUGUCAGGUGGGCAGUUUGACUGGGGCGGUCGCCUCCAAAAGAGUAACGGAGGCGCUCAAAGGUUCGUUCAGCACGGACGGAAAUCGUGCGGUGAGUGUAAACGCAUAAACGAGCCUAACUGCGAGAAUGACGGUUCGAGCAGUAACGAAAGUUGGAGUUAGUGAUCCGGCGGUAUGUGAAUGGAAAUGCCGUCGCUCAACGGAUAAAAGCUACCCUGGGGAUAACAGGCUGAUCUCCCCCAAGAGUCCACAUCGACGGGGAGGUUUGGCACCUCGAUGUCGGCUCAUC
rnacentral:rRNA from 1 species